ACGAGAGGACCGGAGUGGACGCAUCACUGGUGUUCGGGUUGUCAUGCCAAUGGCACUGCCCGGUAGCUAAAUGCGGAAGAGAUAAGUGCUGAAAGCAUCUAAGCACGAAACUUGCCCCGAGAUGAGUUCUCCCUGAGACUUAGAGUCUCCUGAAGGAACGUUGAAGACGACGACGUUGAUAGGCCGGGUGUGUAAGCGCAGCGAUGCGUUGAGCUAACCGGUACUAAUGAACCGUGAGGCUUAACCUUACAACGCCGAAGCUGUU
rnacentral:rRNA from 1 species